rnacentral:lncRNA from 1 species
UCCCCUUCUCCAAAAACUCAUUUCAAAAUUUGCCUAAUGCUCCUUUACUGGUCCCUAAAAGAAACUACAGACACCUUUUAAUGACAUGUAUUUGUCUACAUUCUUGAGCAUGGGAAUAGCUACUAUGUCAGCAUGUCUGUGUCAUUAAGGCCAUUAACUUCUUCACAGUAUCUGAUUUUCUUCAAAACUUUGCUCAGGAAUUUUAGCUCAGAGAAUUGAAUUGCAUGCAAUAAUGUGUAUGUUAAAGGCUCUCUGACUAAACUAAAGGUCAUUCUUGCAUAUAGUGAUGAUGACCCAUGGAUUAAAGAUCCUGUAAGCACUGAAGAGAAUUAUUGUGGUUUACUGUGGAUAACUGAAGUCACUGAAACACUUCAGCUGAAAUGUUAAAAUGACUUUAAAAUAAUCAUCAACCUCUCAACGAAAGCACCACAACGGUUCUCUUUUUCUCUCCUAUUAACAUUAACUCAAAGGAAAUUAAAGUUAAAAAGCUACUGCUGGCCAGGCACGGUGAUUCCCUCUACAAGGUUUUUCUGUUUAUUUUUUGUUUUUUUCUUUUUGUUUUUUUUUUUUAAAGAAACCUACCUUAA